rnacentral:lncRNA from 1 species
UUUUUUUUGUUGUUUUUUGUUUUGUUUUGUUUUGUUUUGUUUUAGACAGAGUGAGCAGCGGGGAAGUCCAGAGUGAGAAGAGAGAAUCUUAAGUGGGCUCCACAUCCAGUGCAGAGCCCAACAUGAUCCCAUGUCCCUGAGAUCAUGACCUAAGCAGAAAUCAAGAGUCAGCUGCUUAGCCAACUGGGCCACCCAGAUGCCUCAGAUCAGGUGAUCUUCUUGAAGCCUUCAAUGGUGUAAGAAACUUGCCCUAAAUAAAAAUUCCCUUUCACCCAGUAAUUGUCACUUACGUGACAAAAAGUAUUUUAAAAACAUGAUUAUCAAUAUUAUGCAUUUGGUUAGCCCUCUAUUUCAAAGCUAAAUAUUUUAAAUAAAACCUGCUUGCUUGAGGAUCUUAAGAUAUAAGAAAUCACAAUUUCACCCCCGUCUUAGCAAAUGUCUUUUCUAAACUAGUCAAAGAAAAAAUAAUAUUCUUUAAAAAAAUGAACUUAAGCAAAGUACACGAUAUACAUUAAUUGACUAAUGGUUCUUCCCAGAUAUUUAUCUCUAGUUUUCUUUGCAAGCAUGAGCAAUAGCAAAAGUUCCACCACUGAAUGAUUUGAACCUCCCAAAUUUUUCUAUUCACUCUCAAUUCCCUCAUGCUCCAAAUAGUUGAAGUGAAGUCCUCUUUGUGGACUGUUUAUAACCCAAAUAUUGUAUAAAAAACCAACACAAGGAAACCUUGUAUGUAUUUUGGGCCAGAAAAGUUUUUGUUCUUUCUACUAAAGUUCAUAUUAAUCCCCGAAUUCUCAAAGAUAUGGCAAGAAAUCUGUGUUCUUUCUAGGCAACAUGUAGUUAGUUAGUUGUUAGUUAGUUAGUUAAUGCGUUAGUUACUUAGUUAUUGAUAGAGCACACAUGAGGCAGUGGGAAGGGGCAGAGGGAGAGGGAAAGAGAGAAUCUCAAGCAGACUCCAUGCCCAGACUGGGCUGGAUCCCAUGAUCCUGAGAUCAUGACCUGAGCUGAAACCAAGAGUCCCAUGCUUAGCUGACUGAGCCACCCAGGUGUUCCUAGGCAAUAUGUAAUUUAAAUAGUAUUUUGAAAAUAGAAAUAGAAGUCUGAAUGAGGUAUACAUUUUAAUGUCUCCAGAAUACUUUGCUUCUGCCUUGAAUGGAAGAGUCAAUCCUUAAGAGGCAGCCAGACCAUUUGAUGUGUUCUCACACGAAUCCCAACUGCACUAUCCUGGCCUGGACACCUAGAAUACUGGAACUGGAUAUAAUUAUCAAUAGCAAUAUCAUUUUCUCAAGACAGCUCUUUGAAACAAAGUUGAUGGACCUCCACAUUUAUAACAUCUGUGCUAAGUUUUAAAGUUUGAAGCCCCAGGGUCCACCAGUCCUCAAGAGCCAAGAGCUGAGGCUAACACACUGGAUCAGACUUUAUCUGAAUAUUAACUCACAGGAACAUUCAUUUAUUCUAAAAUUUUUAAAAUUUUGCAAUCUGUUGCAGUUUAUCCACCCUCCUCCCCCAAAUGAUCUGGUAAAAAUAUUUCAUUUAGAUAUUCUCUAUUGUAUCUGUUCAUCUGUUUGGUAGCAGUUGAUCUGUAGUUAGUGUGAAGAGAAGGAAAAUGACAUGGGCUGGGCCAGGAAGGACAUUCCUAGACUGCCCACAGUCUCACUGUGUAGACGGCCUCACAGUAGUGAGCCUACCUUUCUUUGUAAAUGUCACCUGUGCCCUGAUUCCAGCACAUCUUGACUGACAGAGACCAAACCAUAGUGCUCUCAAAGUAUGGUUUAUAGAUCCCUGGGGAGUCCACAGACACUUUUCAGUAAUCCUCAUAGUCAAAACUAUUUCCAUAGUAAUUGUAAGACAUUUAGCCUUUUCACUGCAUUGACAUUUGUACUAAUGAUGCAAAAACAAUCAUGAGUAAAACUACCGGUGCCUUAGCAGGAUUCAAAGCAGCGCACCACACUGUACUAGUCGCCACUGUAUUUUUCAAGACCACUCACUUGCAGGGGAGAAAUGCCAGUUUUAUUUGAAAAUGCUUGUUGAAGCUGUAAAAAUUAUUAAAAUUUAUUUACAACUUUUAGUUAUCUUCUUAAUAUAGUCAGUGAGGUAGGGAGUUUUGCAGGCACAAUUCUGCAUACGGAAGCACAGUGGUUAUUUCAAGGAAAAACACGUGUAGUUGCUUGAGCUGAGACAUUAACUGGCUCCUUUUUAAAAACUAUUUGACAUGAUUCUUAUUUGAAAGAAUUAUCAAAAACUAUAGUUAUUCAGACUUGAGUAUUUAGCACUUUCUCAAAAAUUAGUGCAUCUGUCACUUCAAGAAAACAACAGUUUUGAAGUAAAAAAAUCAAAUUCAGGAAAAUGUGCAUCUCCCACCCCAAUACUGACAGCUUCCCAAAUAUUUUUUAAAGAUUUUAUUUAUUUAUUCAUGAGAGACACACACGCAGUAAGAGAGAGAGAGAGAGAGAGAGAGAUGCAAGGAGAGGGAGAAGCAGGCUCCAUGCAGGGAGUCUGACAUGGGACUCAAUCCCGGGACUCCAGGAUCAUGCCCUGGGCCAAAGACAGGCACCAAACAGCUGAGCCAACCCAAGCAUCCAAGCUUUCCAAAUACUUACAGACUUUUCUGAUGUGAACACUCUGAUAUUAACAAGUGUAAUUUUCUUAUAUUUUAUAAUAAAAUAUGUCAACAUUUGGAAGCUCUACAUAACUCAAUGAACCAAUGUUUUUCAUGACUGAUACAUGAUUUUACACAAUCAUGUGUGUAUAAAGACCCCCUUCCAACUGUAACAAGUGUGAAAAGUUCCCUGAUAGGGUUUCACAUACUACAUGGCAGCUGCUGUUUAGGAAACAAGCACCUGUAGAGUUUGGGUGUUGCAUUACAGAAGAAUACCUACAAAUGAUUGGAAAAGGCUACUAGCAUACUCCUCACUUUUCCAACUACAUAGCUAUGUGAGGCAGUAUUUUCUUUGUAUAUCUACCUCAGCCAAGGCAACAUAUCACAACAUAUUUCAUGCCAAGAAAAUUAGGAGAAACUGGUUGUCCUCUCUGAAAGGUAGCCUUUAUGAAGUUUGCAAAAACGUAAUGUCAUUUUUUUCAGUAUUUUUUGAGAAAUACAGUUAUGUUUUGCUAAAAUAUGCUAUUUAUUAAUAUAUAAUGGUCUUGUUAUUUUAUUUUUAUUUAAUUUUUUUGAGAGAGAAGAAGAGUGUGUAAGUGGGGAGAGACAGAGGGAGAAGGAGAGAGAGAAUCCCAAGCAGACCCCAUGUUGGAUGUGGAGGACCCCAAGAUCAUGACCUAAGCUGAAAUCACAGGUCAGAUGCUUAACCAACUGAGCCACCCAGGCACCUUAGGUUUUGUUAUUUUUUAAAAAGCAAAAGUAUAUUUUAACUUUUUUUAUUUUAAUUCCUCAUAUGAUAAACAUCAUAGAUAUAAACCCAUAUCAAUGAAAGUUCUUUGAGGUCCUGGAUAAUUUUUAAGGACAUAAAAGAGUCUUGAGGUAAAAAAAUUUUAAAUUUGCUGCCUUCUUGCAAAUCAAUAUGGCCAAUCUACUGUUAUAAAGUUCAGCAAUAUAACAAACUCUCUAAGGCAGGGUCAAGACAUUUACUAAUGUCAAAAAAAAAAAAAAAACAAAAAA